UUAUCAAAAAAUAAGAAGAUUGAUAGGGUUAUUAGUGUUCUUGUUUUGCUAAAUUUUGUAUAUUGUUAUCAAGAAAUAAGAAGAUUGAUAGUGUUAUUAGUGUUCUUGUUUUGCUAAAUAUUGUAUAUUGUUAUCAAGAAAUGAGAAGCUUGAUAGUGUUAUUAGUCGUCUUGUUUUGCUAAAUUUUGUAUAUUAUUAUCAAGAAAUGAGUAGAUUGAUAGUGUAUUAGUGUUCUUGUUUUGCUAAAUUUGUAUAUGUUAUCAAGAAAUGAGAAGAUUGAUAUGUUAUUAGUGUUCUUGUUUUGCUAAAUUUGUAUAUUGUUAUCAAGAAAUGAGAAGAUUGAUAGUGUUUAUUAGUGUUCUUGUUUUGCUAAUUGUAUAUUGUUAUCGAAGAUGAAAGAUUGAUAUGUUAUUAGUGUUCUUGUUUUGCUAAAUUUUGUAUAUUGUUAUCAAGAAAUGAGAAAGAUUGAUAGUGUUAUUAGUGUUCUUGUUUGCUAAAUUUUGUAUAUUGUUAUCAAGAAAUGAGAAGAUUGAUAGUGUUAUUAGUGUUCUUGUUUUGCUAAAUUUGUUAUAUGUUAUCAAGAAAUGAGAAGAGUAUAGUGUUAUUAGUGUUCUUGUUUGCUAAAUUUUGUAUAUUGUUUCAAGAAAUAGAAGAUUGAUAGUGUAUUAUGUUCUUGUUUUGCUAAAUUUUGUAUAUUGUUAUCAAGAAAUGAGAAGAUUGAUAGUGUUAUUAGUGUUCUGUUUUUGCUAAUAUUGUAUAUUGUUAUCAAGAAAUGAGAGAAGAUUGAUAGUGUUAUUAGUUUCUGUUUUGCUAAAUUUUGUAUAUUGUUAUCAAAGAAUGAGAAGAUUGAUAGUUUAUAUGUUCUUGUUUUGCUAAAAUUUGUAUAUUGUUAUCAAGAAAUGAGAAAGAUUGAUAGUGUUAUUGUGUUCUUUUUUUCUAAAUUUUGUAUAUUUUUAUCAGAAAUGAGAAGAUGAUAGGUUAUUAUGUUCUGUUUUGCUAAAUUUGUAUAUUAUACAAGAAAUGAGAGAUUGUAGUGUAUUAGUGUUCUUGUUUUCUAAAUUUUGUAUAUUGUAUCAAGAAAUGAGAAGAUUGAUAGUGUUAUUAGUGUUCUUGUUUUGCAAAAUUUGUAUAUGUUAUCAAGAAAUGAGAGGAUUGAUAGUGUUAUUAGUGUUCUUUUUGCUAAAUUUUGUAUAUUUAUACAGAAAUGAGAAGAUUGAUAGUGUUAUUAGUGUUCUUGUUUUGCUAAAUUUUGUAUAUUGUUAUCAAGAAAUGAGAAGAUUGAUAGUGUUAUUAGUGUUUUGUUUUGCUAAAUUUUGAUAUUGUUAUCAAGAAAUAGAAAGAUUGAUAGUGUUAUUAGUGUUCUUGUUUUGCUAAAUUUGUAUAUUGUUAUCAAAAUGAGAAGAUUGAUAGUGUUAUUAGUGUUUUGUUUUGCUAAAUUUUAUAUUGUUAUCAAGAAAUGAGAAGAUUGAUAGGUUAUUAGGUUUCGUUUUGCUAAAUUUUGUAUAUGUUAUCAAGAAAUGAGAAGAUUGAUAGGGUUAUUAUGUUCUUUUGUUUUGCUAAAUUUUGUAUAUUUAUCAAGAAAUAAGAAGAUUGAUAGUGUUAUUAGUGUUCUUGUUUUGCUAAAUUUUGUAUAUUGUUAUCAAGAAAUGAGAAGUUUGAUAGUGUUAUUAGUGUCUUGUUUUGCUAAAUUUGUAUAUUUUAUCAAGAAAUGAGAAGUUGAUAGUGUUAUUAGUGUUCUUGUUUUGUAAAUUUGUAUAUGUUAUCAAGAAAUGAGAAGAUUGAUAGUGUUAUUAGUGUUCUUGUUUUGCUAAAAUUUGUAUAUGUUAUCAGAAAUGAGAAGAUUGAUAUUGUUAUUAGUGUUCUUGUUUUGCUAAAUUUGUAUAUUGUUAUCAAGAAAUGAGAAGAUUGAUAGUGUUAUUAGUGUUCUUGUUUGCUAAAUUUUGUAUAUUGUUAUCAAGAAAUGAGAAGAUUGAUAGUGUUAUUAGUGUUCUUGUUUUGCUAAAUUUUGUUUAUUGUUUAUCAAGAAAUGAGAAGAUUGAUAGUGUUAUUAGUGUUCUUGUUUUGCUAAAUUUUAUAUUGUUAUCAAGAAAUAGAAGAUUGAUAGUGAUUAGUGUUUUUUUUGCUAAAUUUUGUAUAUUGUUAUCAAGAAAUGAGAAGAUUGAUAGUGUUAUUAGUGUUCUGUUUUUCUAAAUUUUAUAUUGUUAUCAAGAAAUGAGAAGAUUGAUAGUGUUAUUAGUUCUUGUUUUGCUAAAUUUUGUAUAUUGUUAUCAAGAAAUGAGAAGAUUGAUAGUUAUUAGUGUUCUUGUUUUGCUAAAUUUUGUAUAUUGUUAUCAAGAAAUGAGAAGAUUGAUAGUGUUAUUAGUGUUCUUUUUUCUAAAUUUUGUAUAUUUUAUCAGAAAAGAGAAGAUUGAUAGUGUUAUUAUGUUCUUGUUUUGUAAAUUGUAUAUUUUAUCAAGAAAUGAGAAGAUUGAUAGUGUUAUUAGUGUUCUUGUUUUCUAAAUUUGUAUAUUGUUAUCAAGAAAUGAGAAGAUUGAAUAUGUUAUUAGUUCUUGUUUGCAAAAUUUGUAUAUUGUUAUCAAGAAAUGAGAGAUUGAUAUGUUAUUAUGUUCUUUUUUGCAAAUUUGUAUAUUAACAAGAACAUGAGAAGAUUGAUAGUGUUAUUAGUGUUCUUGUUUUGCUAAAUUAUGUAUAUUGUUAUCAAGAAAUGAGAAGAUUGAUAUUGUUAUUAGUGUUCUUGUUUUGCUAAAUUUUAUAAAUUGUUAUCAAGAAAUGAGAAGAUUGAUAGUGUUAUUAGUGUUCUUGUUUAUGUAUAUUGUUAUCAAGAAAUAAGAAGAUUGAUAUUGUUAUUAGUGUUCUUGUUUUGCUAAAUUUUGUAUAUUGUUAUCAAGAAACGAGAAGAAUGAUUGUUUUAUUAGUCUUCUUGUUUUGCUAAAUUUUGUAUAUUGUUAUCAAGAAAUGAGAAGAUUAAUAGGGUUAUUAGUGCUCUUGUUUUGCAAAAUUUUGUAUAUUGUUAUCAAGAAAUGAGAAGAUUGAUAGUGUUAUUAGUGUUCUAGUUUUGCUAAAUUUUGUAUAUUUUUAUCAAGUAAUGAGAAGGUUGAUAGUGUUAUUAGUGUUCUUGUUUUGCUAAAUAUUGUAUAUUGUUAUCAAGAAAUGAGAAGAUUGAUAAUGUUAUUAGUGUUCUUGUUAUCAAGAAACGUUUGACGCUGACCCUUUAGCAAAAUCUCUCAAACAUGAAAGGCAUUGCCAUGGGGAAUUCUCCAUGGCUUCUAUUCAGUCAAAUAAGGAUAUGGAAUAUCACAACAAAGUCGAUGUAAGUCAUGAUGCACUGUUCGUUUGAAUUUAUGAUGGCUUCAAAGGCCACACCACAGCUUCCUAUAUUCGUACGCACAUUAUUAGGACUCUAUUACGUGAGUUAUUUCUUUGCUUCUUUUUUCUUAGCAUACUAAUAUGUAUAUUGUUAUCAAGAAAUGAGAAGAUUGAUAGUGUUAUUAGUGUUCUUGUUUUGCUAAAUUUUGUAUAAAGACCCGAAAUAUUAGAAGAACUCUGAUGAGGAUUCGAUUAGCUUUCUGUGGUUUAUGCUAAAAUUUUUUAUAUUGUUAUCCAAGAAAUGAAAAGAUUGAUAGUGUUAUUAAGUGUUCCUUGUUAUGAAAUUUUUAUAUUGGUUAUCAAAGAAUUGAGAAGAUUGAUAGUGUUAAUUUAUGUUGUUCUUGUUUGCCCUAAAAUUUGUAAUAAGUGUUAUCAAGAAAGGUAAGAUUGAUAGUGUUAAGUGUACUUUGCGUUUUGCGAAACUACUUGUAUGUCGUUGACUAUCCAGAAGUAAGUUGGGGAUAGAUAAAGAUUGAUAGUGCCCCUAUUAGUCGUUUUUGUUUUGCCUAAAUUUUGUAUAUUGUUAAACAAGAAAUGAGGAAAAGAUUGAUGAGAGCACACGCUAGUUUUUUAGUGAUUCUUGUUUUUGCUAAAUUUGUAUAUGGUUAAUCAAAUUGUAGAAGAUUGAUAGUGUUAUUAGUGUUCUUAGUUUUAGCUUAAAAUUUGGUACUAUUGUAUGAAGUAUAAUUGAGAAGAUGGGAUAGUGUAUAUUAGUUUUUCUUAGGGAGUUUUGCCCUAAAUUUUUUUAUGUAUUGCUUAAAACAAACACUUAGAAAUUCGAAUCUGUUAUUAGUUGUUCUUGUUUUGCUAAUUUUUUAUAUUAGUAUAUCACAGAAAUGGAAAAAGAUUGAUAGUGUUAUUAGUGUACUUCUUGUUAUGCUAAAUUUUGCUAUAAAUUGUUAUCAGAAAAUGAGAAGAUUGAUAGUGUUAUUAGUGUCUUGUUUUGCUAAUUUUGUAUAUUCUGUUAUCAAGAAAUGAGAAGAUUGAUAGUGUUAUUAGUGUUCUUGUUUUGUCUAAAUUUUGUAUAUUGUUAUCAAGAAAUGAGAAGAUUGAUAGUGUUAUUUAGUGUUCUUUUUUUUGCUAAAUUUUGUAUAUUGUUAUACAAGAAAUGAGAAGAUUGAUAGUUUAUUAGUGUUCUUGUUUGCUAAAUUUUGUAUAUGUUAUCAAGAAAAUGAGAAGAUGAUAGAUGUUAUUAUGUUCUUGUUUUGCUCUAAAUUUUGUAUAUUCUUAUCAAGAAAUGAGAAAUUGAUAGUGUUAUUAGGUGUUCUGUUUUGCUAAAUUUGUAUAUUUGUUAUCAAGAAAAUGAGGAGAUCAGUAGAGAUUGAGUGCUUAUUAAGUGUGUUGUUUUGCUAAAUUUUGUAUAUUAUUCCAAGAAAGGAGAAGAUGGAUAGUGUUAUUAGUGUUCUUGUUUGCUAAUUCUGUAUUUGUUAUGCAAGAACGAUGAAAGCAUUGAUAGUGUUAUUAGUGUUCUUUGCUAAAUUUUGUGAAUUGUUAUCAGAAAUGAGAAGAUGAUUGAUAGUAGUUAUUAGUGUUCUUGUUUGGCUAAAUUUUGUAUUAUUGUUAUCAAGAAAUGAGAAGUUGAUAGUGUUAUUAGUGUUCUUGUUUUGCUAAAUUUUGUAUAUUGUUAUAAGAAAUGGAGAAGUGAUAGUGUUAUUUAGUGUUCUUGUUUGCUAAUUUUUGUAAUUUAUAUCAAGAAAUGAGAAGACUUGAUAGUGUUUUAGUGUCUUGUUUGCUAAAUUUUGUAUAUUUUAUCAAGAAAUGAGAAGAUUGAUAGUGUUAUUAGUGUUCUUGUUUUGCUAAAUUUUGUAUAUUGUUAUCAAGAAUGAGAAGAUUGAUAGUGUUGUUAUUGUUCUUGUUUGCUAAAUUUUUGUUAUAUUUACAAGAAAAUGAGAAGAGAUGAUAGUGUAUAUUAGUAGUUCUAUUGUGUUUGGCUAAAUUUUGUGUAUAGAAUUUGUGUAAACAAAGAAUAUAGAAGAUUGAUAUAGUGUCUAUUAGUGUUCUUCUUGUUUUUGGCUAAUGUUGUAUAUGUUGCAAAAAGAAAGGAGAAGAUGAUAAGGUGUUAUUACGUGUUCUUUGUUUUUGCUAAAUUUGUAUAUUGUUUCAAGAAAUGAGAAGUUGAUAGCUGUGUAUUAGUGUUUUUGUUUUUGCUAAAUUUUUGUAUAUUGUUAUCAAACAGUGAGAAGAUUGAUAGUGUUAUUAGUGUUUCUUGUUUUUGCUAAAUUUGUUAUAUUGUUAUCAAGAACAUGAGAAGAUUGAAUAGUGUUUUAGUGUUCUUGUUUUGCUAAAUUUUGUAUAUUGUUAUCAAGAAAUGGAGAAGAUUGAUAGUGUUUAGUGGUUCCUUGUUUUGCUAAAUUUUUGUAUAUUGUUAUCAAGAAAUGAGAAGAUUGAUAGUGUUAUUAGUGUUCUUGUUUUGCUAAAUUUUGUAUAUUUGUAUCAAAAAAUGAGAAGAUAUUGAUAGUGAUUAUUAGAAGUGUUCUUGUUUUGGCUAAUAUUUUGUAUUGGAUUUAUCAAGAAAUGAGAAGAUUGAUAGUGUUAUUUAGUGUUUUGGUAUUGCUAAAUUUUGUAUAUUGUUUGUCAAGAAAUGAGAAGAUUGAUAAUGUGUAUUAGUGUGUCUUGUUAGUCUGGGCAGCAAUUUGUAUAUAUUGUUAUACAAAGAAAUGGCAGAGUUGAUGCUAGUUGAUUUAUUAGUGUUUCUUGUUUUGCUAAUUUUUGUAUAUUGGUUUGCAAGAAAGAUGAAGGAUUGAUAGUCUUAUUGUGUGUGCUUGGUUUUGCAGUAAAUGGCGUUAUACGCUUGCCUUUACAAGACCCUAAAAUGAAGAGGAGUCUGCAUAGUGGAUAGUUCUUCGUAUGGGCUUACUAUUGUAAGAAUGCAGCAAAUGAUUAGUGUUAUAGUUGUUGUUUAAAAUUUGUAUAGUGCUACCAAGAAAUGAAGAUAGAAACGCAUAGUUAGCUGUUCUUUUUGCAUUGUGUAUGAUUGGCUUAACGCCAAGCAUAUGCAAUCGACAGGAUUUUAAGUUAUAAGUGUUAUUUUAGUGUUUUGCAUCUUUUCGUAAAUUUUGUAUAUUGUUAUCAAGAAAUGAGAAGAUUGAUUAUGUUAUUAGUGUUCUUGUUUGCUAAAUUUUUGUAUAUUUGUUUACAAGAAAUGAGAGAUUGAUAGUGUUAUUAGAUGUUCUUGUUUUGCUAAAUUUUGUAUAUUGUUAUGCAAGAAUAGAAAGAUUGAAGUCUGUUAUUAGUGUCUUGUUUUGUCCUAAAUUUGUAUAUUGUUAUCAAGAAAUGAGAAGUCUGAUAGUGUUAUUAGUGUCUUCGUUUUCCCUAAAUUUGUAUAUUGUUAUCAGAAUGAGAGAUUGAUAGGUUAUUAGUGUUCUUGAUUUUGCUAAAUUUUGUAUAUGGGUUAUCAAGAAAUGAAGAUUUGAUUAGUGUUUAUUAGUUUCUUGUUUUGCUAAUUUGUAUAUUGUUAUCAAGAAUGAGAAGAUUGAAUAGUGUUAUUAGUGUUCCUUGUUUUGCUAAAUUUGUUAUAUUGUUAUCAAGAAAUAGAAGAAGAUUGAUAGUGUUUAUUAGUGUUUUUUGUUGCUAAAUGUUUGUAUAUUGUUAUCAAAAAUGAGAAGAAUUGAUGAGUUUUAGUGUUCUGUUUUGCUAAAUUUUGAUAUUGUAUAUCAAGAUAUGAGAAGAUUGAUAGUGUUAUUAGUCGCAUUUUGUCUUUGCCAUAAAUUUUGUAUAUUUUUCGACUCUUUUGGAUUACUAGUGAGUUAUUUGCUUUUCUUUUUUCUGGCAUAAUAAUUUGUGUAUUUGUUAUGUCAGAAAUGAGAAGCUGAAUAGUGAUUAUUAGUGUUCUUGUUUUGCCCCUAAAUUUUUGUAUAAUUGUUAUCAAGAAACUGAGAAGAUUGAUAGUGUUUGAUUAGUGUUCUUUUUUGUUGUCUAAUUUUGUAUAUUGUUAUCAAAGAAAUGAGAAGAUUGAUAUGUGUUAUUAAGUGUUUCUUGUUUUGCUAAAUUUUGUAUUUGUUAUCAAGAAAUGUAUUAAGAUUGAUAUAUGUUAAUUCAGUGUUCUUAGUUAGCACUUAAAUUUUGAUAUAAUGUAUAUCAAGAUAAUAUGAGAUAGAUAGUGUUAUUUAGUGUUCUGUUUAGGGCUUAAAUUUUUGUAUAUUGUUAUUAAGUAAAUGGAGGAAGAUCGAUUUGUGUAUUAUUAUGAUUCUUGUUUAUUGCUAAUUUUGUCAAUUGUAUGCCAGGAAAGGAAGAAGAUGAUAGUGUUAUUGUGUCCUGUUUGCUUCACUUGUGUAAUAUUGUUUCGCUCCAGAAUGAGAAGAUUGAUAGUGUUUAUAGUGUUCUUUUAUGUUUUCUAACAUUUGUAUAUUGUUUUUCAAGAAAUGAGAAGAUGAUGAUAGUGUUUAUUAGCUGUUCUUGGGUUUUGCUAAUAUUUUGUAUAGGCUUGUAUCAAAAGAGACUUGUUUCGACAAGAUAUAAUCAGUGUUUUUUUUAUUUUGUGUUCUUGUUUUGCUAAAUUUUGUAUACUUGUUAUCAAAGAAAUGAGAAGUGAAGAUGUUAAUUAGUGUUCUUGUUUUACUAAUUUAUUGUAUAUUUGUUAUCAAGAUAAUGAGAAGAUUGAUAGUUGUUAUUUAGUGUUUCUUGUUUUGCUAAAUUUUGUAUAUUGUUAUCAAGAGAAUGCAGAAAAGAUUGAUAGUGUUAUUAGUGUUCUUGUUUUGCCUAAAAAUUAAUUGUUUAUCAAGAAAUGAGAAGAAUUGAUAGUGUUAUUAGUGUUCUGUUUGCUAAAUUUGUAAUAUUGUUACAGAAAUGCGAAGAUUGAUAGUGUUAUUUAGUGUUCUUGUUUUGCUAAAUUUUGUAUGAUUAUAUCAAGAAAUGAGAAGGUUGAUAGUGUUAUUAGUGUUCUU
rnacentral:lncRNA from 1 species